GAGCCGUUAGCUCAGUUGGUAGAGCAGCUGGCUUUUAAUCAGCAGGGCGGAGGUUCGAAUCCUCCACGGCUCACUA
rnacentral:tRNA from 1 species